ACGCUCGACACCUACGAGAGGCAGCAGUGGGGAAUAUUGCACAAUGGGGGAAACCCUGAUGCAGCGACGCCGCGUGGAGGAAGAAGGUCUUCGGAUUGUAAACUCCUGUUGUUGGGGAAAAAGAGGAUGGUACCCAACAAGGAAGUGACGGCUAACUACGUGCCAGCACGCCGANAUAUNGNGGCGGNGNGAGAGC
rnacentral:rRNA from 1 species